GUAUCAAAUCAACGGACGAAGCUAUUUGACGCUUAACUUAUCAGAACGUUAAGAAAUCUGAAAGAUCGAAUGUUCAAAGCCUCAAUCGUCGACCAGUAAAAGAUAAAUCAAACGAAGUUACAAUUCCAAACAAGAACAAUAUGCUUACCA